UACUGAAACACUUUGCAGAAGAGGUGUGCUUGAUAAAUCUGGUGCAGUGGUUGCUGUGAAUAAGCUGGUUAAAGGGUUGUUGAAUGUUGUAAAAUAGCCCUGAAGGAGUUAAAGGUGUGAGAUUGACUUCUCAAAUUUAGAUUGAAUUAGGCUGGAUUCUAAGAUUAUGGAACGUCUCGAGACAUAACUUCCGGUUUCCGUAUUGAAGUUGAAUUAUAGGCUGUAACAGGAUUAUCAUACUACUGAGAUAAUUAAGUUCCAAAACAUGGUGCUUGAAAUUUGGUUUAAACUGGACACUUUUUAUUGUAAUAAUAAUCAUUUAACAGAGAGGCGUAAGAAACAUUCAUACUUGCACAGGUAUACAGCAGAUACCUGGGGCUUGUUCUAAGCAUCAGUAGGACAUUGUGGUAGUUGAAACAAAGAAGCCUUUUCUGAAGUUCAAGUACUUAGCAUUAAAUUGGAUUAUCAACUUAGCUGUGCUGUGUACCAUAUGUGUUCCUUGAAAAAUUGCCUUGUUUCAAGAUGCCACAUAGAAACUAAUGGAAAAAUAUUAUCUUCAUUUAAUCUUUAUGCCUAAGAAUGACACUGCAGCCUGUGUAAGCUUUAUAAAAAUAUGAUGCUACUUACAAAUUAGUGUGUGUCAAUGACAAAGAGAACAUAGUGAAAAUAAAUAUUUUGUAUUGAUGUGCUGUCUUUGAAUCGCGUGCAGGUUAUCAUUCUUUAGUGUGAGAUGGAUCAGGUCAGGCCUAGUUGAACCUGCCAUUUUGGUUUCAUUUACUUAACUGGCAGCAAAUUUGAAAAAGGCAAAGUAAGACACAUUACUAAUAGUCGUUUUCUGUCAUUUGAAAUCUCUCAUAUAUCUUACUUGUUUUGAAGUUCUUGGAAAUAGACAAAGUAUAAUUUUUGUCCUUUGGUGGGUUGGGAUGUUUUGUCGAGUACAGAAUUUACUGUGUGCACAAUCAGAGUUUUUCGCUGUUAUGAAUCACACAGUUCAUACGAUAUUUUGUUUGGAAAUUUUCAUGGGAAACAUCGUGUUUAAAGGAAGCAUCAUGUUGCCAGGAAACCUUCAUCGGAUGUUUGAAAGUGAGGCAAAAGAAAAUGCAUACAAACUUUUACAGUGGAGAUGGAUUACAUUUCUUUGCGAUAUAAGGGUUUAAAAAUUGUUUGUGUUGUUAUAUGAAGUGUUUCGAUUGGAGGUGGAAGUGAGAGUGAAGGAAUUUUGGUAGUUUGAGUAGGUGGCAUUUUUACCGACCGGGCUACCGUAUGCACUACGCACGUCGCCGUUGUAUUGGUCAACGAUGCAUAGAGUGCUGUACAAAACGCACGGUGCUUCGUUUUUCAGUGGAAUUUGAGUUACGUGUCUAUAGAUCGGUUACCAAUCUAUGUCUAUGGGGUGUUGCCAAGUCAUGUCUACAUAUAUCUGUAGUGUCAACAUUAGCAUUGUUAUCGCCCUUUUCUUGUGAAUCAGUUCCUCAAGAAUUAAUUAUGAUCAUCGUGAGAUUCCUCCUGGCAAGUCUAGUUUCUCAGUAUUAUUUAAAUCUGAGCAGACGUCUGUACCAAGCGGCCUAGUACACACUACCAAACAAGUUUCAUCCGGGUGUGUGGACUGUUUGCGGACAAUCCGCAAAUAAAUAUUUCGUGUUUUUUGUUUCGCUUUGGAAAUGGACCGCCAAUGCAAGUGCUCAUUAUGUGGACAAGUGAGAAUACGUUGAAGCUUAUUGAAGACUUGCAUUCUUUGCCAUGUCUGUGGGAUGUGCAGUCAGCGGAGUAUAAAAACCGAAACAAAAAAAUUGACGCAUACGAUACUCUGGCUAGCAAAUACAGUGUUAGUGUAAUGCAAGUAGAGAAGAAAAUUCAGGCGUUGAAAACGCAAUUUCGUAGGGAACACAGGAAAUUGGUUUCCAAGACUUGCGGUGGUUCUCGGAAAAAGGCUGCUUGGUUUGGGUAUGAGCAGUUGCUGUUUUUGCUUCAAGGAAAUGAAUCCAAAAUCAGUCGAAGUACAGAUAAUGCAUACGUACAGAUCGAAAUUAGCAACUUGGCAGUAGUAUUUGUACUUAUUCUGCCAUCUGGAAUCUGUGGGCAAUUUUCCGGGCAUCCAGGUGCCAUUAAGACUUCUAAUGCCAGUCACUAUUUGCUGGAAAGAAAUACGAUGUCAACCACCAAUGUUCAAGAGUUAUUAAGUUCAUCAGUCCUACCAACCAACAGUGAAAAUGAAACUGAGCUUUAUGGCAUUGUUAACAAUGUAACAAAGGAUUCUGCAGACGUGGAUGAGGCAUUUCAGAGAUUUCUUCUUGUUAAGAAGUAUAUGGAUCCCCUAAUCAUGGGAAUUAUUUUCAUUUUCGGAGCUGUAGCUAAUAUUACUCUUCUUGUGAUAUUGGUACGACACGAAGAAAUGCGGACUUGGACGAACGCGUGUAUUUUCACGAUGGCUACAGGCGACCUCUUGUCUGUUAUUGUUAAUAUCCCACUGUUCUAUGCUCUUUUGACGUCCAGGUAUUGGACUGUUGGCGUAGUCCUUUGCAAAUUAAUGUGGUUUUUCAGCGAUUUUGCAGUUGGCCUGAGCAUUUUCGCGGUAACAAUGCUUAGUGUUCAGCGAUAUUGCGGUAUAGUUAACACUAACAUAUAUAUUUACAGCGGCCGUCUUGCGUUAAAAUCACGCGUGGUAUCUGCGUUUAAUAUACUGCUUAUUUGGGUUUUGUCAUUUGGUUUUGCUAUCCGAACAGUCAUUACAACAGACGUUACGGAUAAUAUAUGUUCCUCCGUUUCGGCAUCGUAUGGUUCUGAUUUCUCGAAGAACAUCGCAUUACUUAACCUCUUCAUGUUUUGUAUUAUUCCAUUGUCUGUGAUCGCUGUGUUCUAUGGACUAACUGCUCGUUAUUUGGUUGAGAGUGCUCGAAAUAUGCCAGGAGAAACGUCGGAUAAUAUUCAAAAAAUAAUUUACGCUCGAAAGAAAGGUGCUAAGACCGUUCUUGCACUCACUGGUGUUUUCUUUGUAAGUUAUAUGCCUUGGUAUUUGUGGCAGGUUGUGUUCUUCUGGGGAAAUUUUAGCAGUGACUACAAGGUCACUGCAAUCACUUAUACUUUCUUGUAUUAUUUAUUCUUUGGAAAUUUGUGUUUCAAUCCGAUUGCACUUUAUUGUGUGAGCAGUGCCUUCAGAAAGUAUUUCAAUCGGUACUUGUUUUGUUACCGUAAAGUAAAGGAAGAACAGGAGACAACUUUGGUGAAAAGUAAGUCUACUUGUUUGACGUACUUGACAAACACAGAAACUCGAUAGUCUGAUGACUGUUUCAGAAGAUGGCUCUCAAUUUUUGUUAUUGGCUUGCGUGACAAUAUUGAUUACACGCAAUGCGUAACAAAUGAAUGUGGUCGUGCCCUGCUGAUGAAAUGUUGUAUAGUCGGCGCAGUGGUUUUUGGCCGGUGGAGGAGCUGGCAGACGGGCCUACUCUGUGU